rnacentral:SRP_RNA from 1 species
GGAAGGUCAGCGCUGGACGGUUGGCUCGCGAACCCGGUCAGGUCCGGAAGGAAGCAGCCGCAGUGAUUUCCAGUCGGGUCAGAUGUUGGCCUUCCACC